rnacentral:pre_miRNA from 1 species
CUCCGUUCCAAAAUAAGUGCAGCCAUAGUUUUUCGCGCCCAACUUUAACCGUUCAUCUUAUUUAAAAAAAAUUUGAAAAAAUUUUAAAACAUAAGUCAUGAGUAAAGUACUAUUCAUAUUUUAUCAUUUCAUAACAACAAAAAUGCUAAUUAUGAAAAAAUUUCAAAUAAGAUAGAUGAUCAAAGAUAGGCGUGAAAACUCAUGGCUGCACUUAUUUUGGGACGGAGGUA